UUAAACGUGGGUUACUAUCUGUCAGGUUUAAUCAUUUAGGAGCAGUUGUAAAAGCGUCCUGUGUACAUGGAGCCUAAGUGUGGAAGGGGGCCUAAAAUCUUUUGUAAAAAGUAAAACUAGAUUUGGUUCGACAAUCUCUUCCAUACCAUUCACACACAUCUGCGGUGGACAAUUUAUACGGUCUGGUGCUAAAGUUAAGCAAGCAUUGUCCUCCCCUAACUUAGACCAGUGGUGCGCUGCGGAAAUGGUAGAACGAACUGUGCCAUUUCUCUGCCACCCCAAGUCUCAAUUUUGCCAUUCUAUUGAGUCCCUUAAAAUAUAAUACCUGAUCUAAACAUUUAUUGCUGAAAAUUGGUCCUGUAAAGGGCAGAGAAAAAACAAAAAUCCAAUCUCAAAUGCAGACCGUUGUCAGAAGUGCUUAUUAUCACAGAGUUUUCCAAGUCUCAAUGUCCCGAGGCCACCCACACUUCAAUGCAGUCGUCCAAGAAGCUGACUAUUUCAAUAUGAUCUAUCUAUAACAAACUCGCGCAGGCAUUUUUGAUUGUCAGGCUUUUUGUCAGUGGACUUGGAAAGCAGUUUGGAAAAGAUUUCUCUCCUAUUCAAUGAGAACGUAGAGUGCAGGAUGUAAUUAAAUGUUUUUUUUACCAAAUUACUGUAACUGGAGCAAAAUUGAUCGAAUGCAUUUUAUUGGAAGGCCAAGUGGGUCCUAUAGGAAAAUAGUUACCGGGUUACUUCUCUUUUUAAUCAUCUCAAAGGAAUUUCUUCUAGAGCAUUCCAUUUUUGUUUUUAUUUUUUAUAGAGUUUUCCAAACGAUACAUUCCUUUUAAGCCAUAUGUAAUUGCCAAAUACUAUUAUCCCUAUAAGUCACUAGGGCCCCCCGGUGUCUCUGGGACCCACAGCAGUCAUGUGUUGUGGCUUUAGUUAUAAUGGUGGAAAUCAACUGUAAAUUUCAAAUGUAACUCGUACAAAAAAUAACAGCGACAAUAUUCCCAACUACACCUAGGUUCACACUGCUGCAGGAUUGAAAUUGCGAGUUCAGCUCAACUCCCAUGAUUUCAUACACUCAUGUCGGUCCCGAAUUCAGGGACAUCUGUGUGGGUUCCAGCACAGAUGUCCAUUGAAAUCGCACUCAAAGUUGCCAAAAGUAGUACUGAAACUACUUUCGGGAAUUUGUGCAGCGCCACAAAGUCGGCAUCGCACCGAUUCAGACGGUGCCAUUGCUGCCAAUUCGGCAUGUAAUUUGAGAAAUCGCAUCAUUGUGAACCUAGGCUUAAAAUCUAAAAUCUAAAAUUGUGAUUGUGUGGUCAGUUGCAGCCAAGUCUAUAUUUUUGUCAUCUUUUUAAAUCUACUUUUUUCAAGCUGGGAGAUGCUUGCAGGGGCAGUCUAUGGCCAGCUUUUGACCCCUGACUGGAUUUAGAGAGUGGGAUUGGUGAUCGCAAUAGCUAAAAAUCACUCAUUGGUAUACAUCAGGAGAUUGUAUUAAGGCUUUUUCAACCUAAAUCCCAAUUAAAUAAAAAAAAUUAUUAUAAAAAAAAAAAAAAUUAGACAAAAAGGCUCCAAAAAAUUAGAAAUGUUUUAUUUAUUUUUUUACUUACCAGAAAUGGCUGUUGCUAGGCAGAGCGUCCUAAUCUGUCACUUCCUAUUCCGCUGUAGUCUUUAUUCUUCCCCUUGCGGUGCCCCCUGAGAAAUGGUGUUUUCUGGGACCUUGUGUGUGUCCCAGGAGACCGCCGCCCAUUCACAAAGCGCUGCGCGACAGGAAACGGGCAGUUAAGCUGCCUGUUUUUCCCUUACGGAGUAUGGCAGCACCGGGACCUGGUCCGAGGGACAGAUUGGCCUUAGGCAGCCGACAUCGCGGGCACCCUGGACAGGUAAGUCUGCUGACUUUUAAAUUGUAUUUUUACAGCUGGACCUCCGCUUUAAGCUUUGACAAUAAAUCUUAAGGCCGGGUUCACAUAUGUGCGACUGCAGUUUGCAGUCCAGGGUCUGGUGCAUUCAUGUACACCGGUUCAGGUGCAAAUUUUUUACCUGAAUUCGCACCUGAACUGGACCAAAAAAAUAAACGCACUGUGGCUGCCACGAACAUGUGUAAACCGGCUCCAUUGAGAGACUGUCACAUUCACGUCAUGCAAAUUAGAUACGGUUUAAAAUGCAUCCAAUUUGCACAUAUGUGAACCCAGCCGAUUGGUUACUAUGCAGAGUUGCAUCAUAUUCUGUGUGCUCCAAUUUUAGUUACACCCCCUUCAAAUGCCCCCUCUUGAGUGGCAUUUGUGAACAGAUCUGUUUGUAGUAGUAAUUUCCCCUCAAUUUCCACUUUUUUCAUUUUGCGUCUCCAAGACAGGACCGCAACAAAUAACCUCCUUUAAUUCCUACUCCACCCAAAAAAAAAAAAUGUUUUGGCUAUGUACACACUUUAAUCUCAGACAGCAUUUAGAACGUGAUGGUUUCUAACCCUUCCCUACUCCAUCUAAAAGUAACUUCUUCUUGGCGUUUGGCUUUAAUGAGCAUCAAACUAAUCUGGCUCAAGUUUGAAUUUUCUGCCCGGCGGAACCUUCUGCCACGGCCGUCUAUCUUGGCAGGAAAUCCUGAAAGCCAAUCAGGAAUCGGACGAAGAGUUGAUGAGUCAAUGUCGAUUCUUUGGCACCAGUCGGGGCUUUUCCCAUAUGUGUCUGUGACAUGCGUUUUCACUGCUAACCCGGCAAGCUUCUCUGGACCGUUCUGCCUGUCAUGAACCCAUGCCAUUUCAUGAUAAAAGCAUGUUUAAUGAGGAUUUUUCUAUAAUAAAAAAAAAAUAUUAAAGUAUAUUUUAUUGUUUUUAUACUAAACCUAUUGCUGCGAAGGAGCUCUGUUAGGCUUUUGCGGUGGGGUGGGUCACUGGUGGCAGCAAAAGGGUUAUAAUGGAAGUUUUCCUCGGUGAUACUUAUGUUUAGAACUUGCGUUCAUUGUAUUUGUAUAUACAUGUAUAAAUGAUGUUUUUCUGGAA